CUCCUUUGACGUUAGCGGCGGACGGGUGAGUAACACGUGGGUAACCUACCUAUAAGACUGGAAUAACUUCGGGAAACCGAAGCUAAUGCCGGAUAACAUGUAGAACCGCAUGGUUCUACAGUGAAAGAUGGCCUUGCUAUCACUUAUAGAUGGACCCGCGCCGUAUUAGCUAGUUGGUAAGGUAACGGCUUACCAAGGCAACGAUACGUAGCCGACCUGAGAGGGUGAUCGGCCACACUGGAACUGAGACACGGUCCAGACUCCUACGGGAGGCAGCAGUAGGGAAUCUUCCGCAAUGGGCGAAAGCCUGACGGAGCAACGCCGCGUGAGUGAUGAAGGUCUUCGGAUCGUAAAGCUCUGUUAUUAGGGAAGAACAAGUGCGUAAGUAACUGUGCGCACCUUGACGGUACCUAAUCAGAAAGCCACGGCUAACUACGUGCCAGCAGCCGCGGUAAUACGUAGGUGGCAAGCGUUAUCCGGAAUUAUUGGGCGUAAAGCGCGCGUAGGCGGUUUCUUAAGUCUGAUGUGAAAGCCCACGGCUCAACCGUGGAGGGUCAUUGGAAACUGGGAGACUUGAGUGCAGAAGAGGAAAGUGGAAUUCCAUGUGUAGCGGUGAAAUGCGCAGAGAUAUGGAGGAACACCAGUGGCGAAGGCGACUUUCUGGUCUGUAACUGACGCUGAUGUGCGAAAGCGUGGGGAUCAAACAGGAUUAGAUACCCUGGUAGUCCACGCCGUAAACGAUGAGUGCUAAGUGUUAAGGGGGUUUCCGCCCCUUAGUGCUGCAGCUAACGCAUUAAGCACUCCGCCUGGGGAGUACGACCGCAAGGUUGAAACUCAAAGGAAUUGACGGGGACCCGCACAAGCGGUGGAGCAUGUGGUUUAAUUCGAAGCAACGCGAAGAACCUUACCAAAUCUUGACAUCCUUUGACCACUCUGGAGACAGAGUUUUCCCCUUCGGGGGACAAAGUGACAGGUGGUGCAUGGUUGUCGUCAGCUCGUGUCGUGAGAUGUUGGGUUAAGUCCCGCAACGAGCGCAACCCUUAAGCUUAGUUGCCAUCAUUAAGUUGGGCACUCUAAGUUGACUGCCGGUGACAAACCGGAGGAAGGUGGGGAUGACGUCAAAUCAUCAUGCCCCUUAUGAUUUGGGCUACACACGUGCUACAAUGGACAAUACAAAGGGCAGCUAAACCGCGAGGUCAUGCAAAUCCCAUAAAGUUGUUCUCAGUUCGGAUUGUAGUCUGCAACUCGACUACAUGAAGCUGGAAUCGCUAGUAAUCGUAGAUCAGCAUGCUACGGUGAAUACGUUCCCGGGUCUUGUACACACCGCCCGUCACACCACGAGAG
rnacentral:rRNA from 1 species